UACGUAGGCAGCGAGCGUUGUUCGGAGUUACUGGCGUAAGGUGUGUAGGCGGUUUCUAAGUUGGUGUGAAUCUCCCGGCUCAACCGGGAGGUGCGCCGAAUACUGAGGGACUCGAGUGCGGGAGAGGAAAGUGGAAUUCCUGGUGUAGCGGUGAAAUGCGUAGAUAGUCAGGAGGAACACCGGUGGUGUAGACGGCUUCUGGACGUAACUGACGCUGAGACACGAAGCGUGGGUAGCAACAGG
rnacentral:rRNA from 1 species